CCUACGAGCGGCUGCAGUGAGGAAUAUUGGUCCAUGGGCGCGAGCCUGAACCAGCCAAGUAGCGUGAAGGAUGACUGCCCUACGGGUUGUAAACUUCUUUUAUAAAGGAAUAAAGUGAGGCACGUGUACCUUUUUGUAUGUACCUUAUGAAUAAGGAUCGGCUAACUCCGUGCCAGCAGCCGCGGUAAUACGGAGGAUCCGUGCGUUAUCCGGAUUUCUUGGGUUUAAAGGGAGCGUAGAUGGGUUGUUAAGUCAGUUGUGAAAGGUUGCGGCUCAACCGUAAGAGUGCAAUUGAUAAUGGCUGCCUUGAGUACAGUUGAGGUAGGCGGAAUUCGUGGUGUAGCGGUGAAAUGCUUAGAUAUCCCGAGGAACUCCGAUUGCGAAGGCAGCCUACUAAACUGCCACUGACAUUGAUGCGCGAAAGUGUGGGUAUCAAACAGGAUUAGAUACCCUGGUAGUC
rnacentral:rRNA from 1 species